rnacentral:rRNA from 1 species
AAUCAACGCUGGCGGCGUGCCUCAGACAUGCAAGUCGAACGCGAAAGUCCCCUUCGGGGGGACAAGUAGAGUGGCGCACGGGUGAGUAACACGUAGGUAAUCUACCUUUGGAUGGGGAAUAACAACCGGAAACGGUUGCUAAUACCGCAUAAUGCAGCGGCACCUAAUGGUGACAGUUGUUAAAGCGGGGGAUCGAAAGACCUCGCGUCUGAAGAGGAGCCUGCGGCGGAUUAGCUAGUGGUAAGGUAAUGGCUUACCAAGGCUACGAUCCGUAACCGGCCUGAGAGGGGCGGUCGGUCACACUGACACUGACAUACGGGUCAGACUCCGUACGGGAGGCAGCAGGUCGGGGUAAUUUUGGGCAAUGGGCGAAAGCCUGACCCAGCAACGCCGCGUGAAGGAUAGAAA